GCUCUGGCAUAGGCCGGCAGCUGCAGCUCUGUGACUACAGCUCUGAUUGGACCCCUAGCCUGGGAACCUCCAUAUGCUGCAUGUUUGGCCCUAAAAAGACAAAAAGUACAAAAAAAUUAAAAGUAUAAAAAAAAACCUAAAUAUAUUCCUUGCAAUUAAUAAAUAUUUCAAUACAAAGGACUAAGUGAGAACUAAUGUGAUAUAAUUAUGAAAUUCCUAAUGAUUUUGGCAAAUUGUCAUCAAGCUGAGGUGUGCAAUGCUCAAAGUUUAUAUCAAAGGAACCCAGUUCUCCCCCUUGGUGAAGAGAAGAGCAAAUUUCUGUAGAUAUCGUGAGCCAUGUCUCCAACUAAAAGUCAAUGAUUUGAAGUUUCAAGGUGUCUCAUCCAGACAGGGAUUUAAUCUAGUCUUAAAUUUGGAGAAAAAUUUAAAUGUCGAGAUAAGGUGAUGAAAGAUUAGACUUGGGAAGCCAGCAGAGUUCAUGAGUAAGAUCUUAUAAACACUGGUACACUUAAUUCUAACCUCGUCUCUUGGGAACACAGAAUCUCCAGGAAAUCGUUCUCUCACACUAAUGUCCAUGGGAAAUCAUGUGCUUAGGGGUUAAAGAGAGGGAAAUGUGCUAAUAAGCGGACAUAGAGAGCUAUAAAUCCACUGCCACAGUCCCUCAGCAUGUGAAACCUGGCACUGGACAGUCACUGUUGCCUUCGGAGUCCUAAGUUUUGUUGGAAGACUAAUGCUAGCCUCUUUCCUGCUGCCUUGUGUGAACUCAGAGCUUCAGUCUCCAUCAUCAACCAUUCAGGAAGAAUCUGGACUUCCACCUAGGACCUCGUCUCUCAGGGUUCCCAACGAAGUAAGCAGGGGAGCCCCGGAGGUACUGCACAAAAGGGUCAGAGAGAACCAAAGCUGAGCACACAUACCAGUGAUCACCCAAGAUCCACCAGCUUAACCCCAAGGUGAAGAGAUUUCUACAGAUGAUUUCUUGCCUGAUUAACUAAUUAAUGCAUUUAUUUAUCACACUAAUAAGAGAAGUUAACACUGAAUUCAGCAAUAUAGGUUUGAUUUUUGACAGUUACGUGAUGGUAGUCCAUUAGAGAAAUGAAUGGGAGGUAUACAAUUUUGCUGGUAAAGGGAGAACAUAUCCAAGGAGUUUUAUAGUUCAGAGAAUAAAAAGCAGUACUAGGUGUGGAGGUCUGUCCAGGGAAUCAGGGGAAGUUUCUUUUUUUAUUUUUAACAUGGGACAUAUACAACAAUGUAUAUGUAUUCAUAAGGAAGAUUCAGACCAAUUUAUUGCUUGCAAGUGUUACCUUGCAACAACAGUUUAUGAGACAUUUAUUUUCACUCUGGGUAUUCACAUGAAAAAAAUAUAUUUUAUAUGUAAAAAGUAGUAUGCUGUAGGUUAGUUAUUCAUUUGUAUUCUCUGUUUUAAAGAGUCUGUAAAAAUUCUUUAUAUGCGUAUAGUGGGCUCAGAGUGUUUUUAUUCUUGUCUUUUAUUCUUGUCAAUUUUUGCCACUAACUUUUUUAUUUGCCACUGAGUUAUUUUAUAGAUAGAUAGAUAGAUAGAUGGAUAUUACAGAAUUUUGUUUAUCAACAAUAUUAUUCUUUUUUUUUUUUUUUUGUCUUUUGAGGGCUGUACCCACCAUGGCAUAUUAAGUUCCCAGGCUAGGGGUCAAAUAGGAUCUGUAGCUAAUGGCCUAUGCCACAGCCACAGCAAUGCCAGAUGCUUAACCCAUUGAGCAAGGCCAGGGAUAGAAUCUGUGUCCUCAUGGAUACUAGUCAGGUUCAUUACCACUAAAACACUAUGGAACUCCACUAUUAGUAUUCUUUACUUUGAAAUAUUUGAUAAAACAAAAUGAAAGUGACUAUUCUUCUGUAUACUUACUGCUAAUAAAUCACCCUUUAUGCAUGUGAUCAAUUUCUCUUUGCAUCUCUUUUAUUUCUUACCAUUUCUUUGGCCUUUUGUGAAUAGGUUUAUUUCUAAAAGCUGCACCACCUUCAAAUGUCAUCUGGAAGACAUUCUUAUUACAUUUGACUAAAGGUAAGCAACAUUCUAUAAACUUGUGCAAAUCCCUAUUUAUUUUAUUUUAUUUUAUUUUUUUUAAUUUUUUGGCCGCCUCACAGUGUGUGGAGUUCCUGGGGCAGGGAUCAGAUAUGAGAUGCAGUUGUGGCAAUGCCAUAUCUUUAACCCACUGUGCCUGGUACUGCUUCUUCCACAAUUUUAAAUUCCCUUCCAUUAUAUCCUUAUAUGUCCAAGUCUUUGGAAGUUCAAUCUAUAGUUAGUUACCCACAUUGCUAUUCUUCAGUUUUUAUUACAUUAUUUUGUUUUAUAAGUUUGUUUUGGCUUCAAUCUCAAUUUUGUUUCACGCAGUUGUUUUGAAACCACUAAUCCUAACUUAAUUUCCAUUCUAACUGACACUCUUAUUUCUAUAAAUUCUUAGCUUCUUUUAAAACUUCUCUUUCUGUGUAUGCACAUGUACAUAUUCAUAACUUUUAUUCAAAUGAAUGAAUAGAAUCCUAUACACAUCAUACAUGCUAUUUAUUUUUUAGUGCAGUCUUUUUUUUUUUUUUUUUCUACCAUGUGUCAGGUUUUCCUUCUUACUUAAUAAUGCCUCAUGGACUUGCCUUCAAUCUGGGAAUGUAAUGCUUAUUCAUGGCUUCGAUGCCUGUGUAUUUCAUGAUGUAGCUUUGCUACUCAUGCUUUAAAAUAUUUACUACAAUUACACAAAAAUAUUUGGAGAUUUUUAUUGUAAAACACUAGACUCCAGAGACAAUACUGUUCCCCCCAGCCCAGGGGACUUUUAGCAAUGUCCAGAGACUCUUCUAUGUCAUAUGGGGACUUGUCAGCAGAGACCGGGGAUGGUGUAAACAUCUUGCAAUAUCACCACCAAAUCCAGUCUGUACAAGAACGUUAAAAGUGCCAGGAGUGAGACAGCCUGAGUGAAGAAUAUCUGUAUUUUUAGUAUUUAUAUCUGUAUUCAGAUUGCUUCCCAACCUUAUUAAAUUUCAUUUCACAUUUCAACCAGGAAAAUUAGAGAGUGAGUACCAUGUUGUUACCUGUUCAAACCCAAUCAACAUGAGAGCACUUUUGGUUGGUGUUUUCUUAGGCUGAUGGGUAGGAAAGUGAAUUCUGGUUGAAUUUUUUAGCUAUUACUGAGUUCCAUCAAAGAUUUACCCACUUGCUCAUCUUUUUCAUUUGCCUAUUAUUAUAUGCUCAUUAUCAUAUAGCCAAGUUUUCUACAUUUACCAAUAUUUUAAAUUAUUUUUAAAAUGAUUACUUCCAAAAUGACAUACAUGCCAUACAUAUUUUAGGUAAAAGUUCUUAAAUUUUAAUUUUUUAAGAUUUUUUAAUGAUUUUUGUUGUUUCCAUUAUGGUUGGUUUACAGUGUUCUGUCAGUUUCUACUGUAUAGCAAAGUGACCUAACCACACACACACACACACACGUAUAUAUACCUUAUUAUCCUCACAUUAUUCUCCAUCAUGUUCCAUCAUAAGCAACUCUACUUCCCUGUGCUAUAUAGCAGGAUCUCAUUGCUUAUCAACUCCACAUGCAAUAGUUUGCAUUUUUUUUAAUUUAUUUUUUUCCCACUGUACAGCAAGGGGAUUAAGUUAUCCUUACAUGUAGACUUUUUUUCCCCACCCUUUGUUCUGUUGCAAUAUGAGUAUCUAGACAUAGUUCUCAAUGCUACUCAGCAGGAUCUCCUUGUAAAUCCAUUUGAAGUUGUGUCUGAUAACCCCAAGCUCCCAAUCCCUCGCACUCCCUCCCUCUCCCGUCGGGCAGCCACAAGUCUCCUCUCCAAGUCCAUGACUUUCUUUUCUCUGGAGAUGUUCAUUUGUGCUGGAUAUUAGAAGCCAGGUAUAAGUGAUAUCAUAUGGUAUUUGUUUUUUUCUUUCUGACUCAUUUCACUCAGUAGGAGAGUCUCUAGUUCCAACCAUGUUGCUGCAAAUGGCAUUAUGCCAUUCUUUUUUAUGGCUGAGUAGUAUUCCAUUGUGUAUAUAUACCACUUCUUCUGAAUCCAAUCAUCUAUUGAUGGACAUUUGGGUUGUUCCCAUGUCCUGGCUAUUGUGAAUAGGGCUGCUAUGAGCAUGCGUGUGCAUGUGUCUCUUUUAAGUAGAGUUUUGUCCAGAUAUAUGGCCAAGAAUCGUAUUGCAGGGUCAUAUGGAAGUUCUAUGUAUAGAUUUAUUAACCCCAUACUCCCAGUCCAUCCCUCUCCCUCCCCGUCCCUGUUGGCAACCAUAAGUCUGUUUCCAUACCCAUGAUUUUCUUUUCUGUGGAAAGUUUCAUUUGUGCUGUAUAUUAGAUUCAAGAUUGAGUGAUAAUCAUAUGGUAUUUGUCUCUCUUUCUGACUUACUUCACUUAGUAUGAGAGUCUAUUUCCAUCCAUGUUGUUGCAAAUGGCAUUAUUUUGUUCUUUUUAUGGAUGAGUAGUAUUCCAUUGUGUACAUAUACUACAUUAACUUAAUCCAUUCAUCUGUUGAUGGACACUUAGGUUGUUUCCAUGUCUUACCUAUUUUGAAUAGUGCUGCAAUGAACAUAGGGGUACAUGUAUGUUUUUCAAGGGAGGUUUUGUCUGGAUAUAUGCCCAAGAGUGGGAUUUCUGAAUCAUGUGGUAGUUUUGUACUUAGUUUUCUAGGUAUUUCCAUACUGUUUUCCAUAGUGGUUGUACCAGUUUACAUACCUACCAAUGGAGGGUUCCCUUUUUUCCACACCCUCUCCAGCAUUUGUUAUUGUGGACUUGUUAAUGAUGGCCAUUCUGACUGGCAUGAGAUUCUACCUCACAGUAGUCUUGAUUUUCAUUUCUCUAGUAAUUAGUGAUGUUGAGCAUUUUUUCAUGUGCUUGUUGGCCAUAUGUAUAUCUUCUUUGGGGAAAUCUCUAUCCAAGUCUUUUGCCCAUUUUUUCAAUUGAAUUGUUGGGUUUUUUUUCGGUUGAGCUGUAUAGGUUGUUUACAUAUUUUAGAGAUUAAGCCCUUGUAAGUUGCUUCAUUUGAAACUAUUUUCUCCCAUUCCAUAGGUUGUCUUUUUGUUUUGAUUUGAUUUUUUAUAUAUAGUUUCCCUUGCUGUGCAAAAGCUUGUCAGUUUGCUUAGGUCCCAUUGGUUUAUGCUUGGUUUUAUUUCUGUUGCCUUGGGAGUCUGACCUAAGAAAACAUUUGUGUGGUUAAUGUCAGAUAAUGUUUUGUCUAUGUUCUCUUCUAGAAGGUUGAAAAAUUCUUGUCUUAAUGUGUAAGUGUUGAAGCCAUUUUAAUGUCAUACACCACAGUAACAAAAGAAUACUCAAAAAAAACCACAGGAUCUUCUCAAUAGAUGCAGAAAAAGCAUUUAACAAAGUCCAAGAUCCAUUUG
rnacentral:lncRNA from 1 species